UUCGCAAUGCCCGAAAGGGUGACGAAGCGACGCCGCGUGUGGGAAGAAGGCCUUCGGGUUGUAAACCACUGUCGGGAGUUAAGAAAUGUAAGGAUGUUAAUAGCGUCCUUACUUGACUAAGGCUCCAGAGGAAGCCACGGCUAACUCUGUGCCAGCAGCCGCGGUAAUACAGAGGCGGCAAGCGUUGUUCGGAAUUAUUGGGCGUAAAGAGCACGUAGGCGGCUGUGUAAGUCGGUUGUGAAAGCCUUCCGCUUAACGGAAGAACAGCGACCGAUACUGCAUAGCUAGAGUGCGGGAGGGGAGAGUGGAACUUCUGGUGGAGCGGUGAAAUGCGUAGAUAUCAGAAGGAACGCCGGCGGCGAAAGCGGCUCUCUGGACCGUAACUGACGCUGAGUGUGCGAAAGCUAGGGGAGCAAACGGGAUUAGAUACCCCGGUAGUCCUAGCCGUAAACGAUGGGCACUAAGUAGAGGGGUUUUA
rnacentral:rRNA from 1 species